GUCUAUGGCCAUGCUACCCUGAACAAGCUGGAUCUCAUCUGAUCUCGGAAGCUAAGCAAGGUCGGGCCUGGUUAGUACUUGGAUGGGAGACCACCUAGGGAGACCAGGUGCUGUAGGUG
rnacentral:rRNA from 1 species